AUAGGAAAUUGACCUAUGAAAUGACAGAUGAUAUGGCUAAAUUUGUCUGUCAUUUCUGUAGGCCAAUAUUCUGU
rfam:Oryctolagus cuniculus chromosome 16, whole genome shotgun sequence.